rnacentral:rRNA from 1 species
AAAGCAGGGGCUCUUCGGACCUUGCACUAUCGGAUGAACCCAUAUGGGAUUAGCUAGUAGGUGGGGUAAAGGCUCACCUAGGCGACGAUCUCUAGCUGGUCUGAGAGGAUGAUCAGCCACACUGGGACUGAGACACGGCCCAGACUCCUACGGGAGGCAUCAGUGGGGAAUAUUGCACAGUGGGC